UACGUAGGGGGCAAGCGUUGUCCGGAAUCAUUGGGCGUAAAGCGCGCGUAGGCGGCUCGGUAAGUCCGCUGUGAAAGUCCAGGGCUCAACCCUGGAAUGCCGGUGGAAACUGUCGAGCUUGAGUCCGGAAGAGGCGAGUGGAAUUCCUGGUGUAGCGGUGAAAUGCGCAGAUAUCAGGAGGAACACCAAUGGCGAAGGCAGCUCGCUGGGACGGUACUGACGCUGAGACGCGAAAGCGUGGGGAGCAAACAGG
rnacentral:rRNA from 1 species